AGAUCCGACUCAUCGUUCUAUCAAAGUACACCUAAAAACUUUGAUGGAAAAUGAAACAACAGAGCGCACACUGCUGGAAGGUAUUAUCACCUGUCACACAGUGUCCUGAACAAAGAGUGGGUUGCAGUGGGAGUUGUGUUGGAGCUACUGGAACUCUCUUGUUUGUGAACAGCAGGGGGCUGAUUCAGGGAUUAUUAGAACCUAGGGAGAGCCUGUGUGUGGGGUGCUAUACAACAGAGGGGAGCAGUGCGCAGCAAAGGUAAACAAGGCCUUUAAUCAAUCAGCGGAUGUUUGAAAGCAGGGAACAGUCGAGAAAAAGCAGGAUGUGAAUGGCCCGCAGCUCGUAUAGGAGGUUAUAAGUAGAGGAGCUAUCUGUGCCAGGAAUACGGAGCAGACCUCAGCUGUUGCACGGCCCAGUCUGAUCCAAUUUGUCAGACCUCACCUCCUAUUUCUUCUCAUCGACUGCCCUCUUUGUUGCCUCUGCUUCGUUUUCCCUCUCCGCAGCCAUGCAUCCCCAGCGUCCUCUUCCCCAGGCCAUGCCCUCCUCCUCUCUGGGACAGCACCUGAGGGACCUGGCCAUGGGUCUGGGAAGAGGCAAGAACUUCCUGGGAGGAAACUUCGCCUACAGUUUCAUCCAGUCGGUUAAGGAGUGCUUGUAUUUCCUUCUCUGUUGCUGGUGCAUCAAGGAGAUCCUGGACUGAAGGACUGAAAGUGAGAGUAGAUCAAGUGGUCAAACAUUGAUUUUCCCCCUUUUCUCUGUUGGCACCUAUAGUGUAAUUUCAACCAGCUUUUAUUUCAUCGGGAAUGGAGUGUUUGAUCGGCGGUGCUGGCAAAGCAUUGUGUCUGUAGGAUGCUCUUCUUGGGUUCCAGGAAAUACACUUGAACAUUUCCAGAAACUACGAAUGUUCACUGAGAGACUGGGUCAGGGUCUUCCUGCGUUUAACUAAAGAAUAGCACCCCAUGAUGUUCACUGUACAACACAAACUGGUGUGCACUGAAUAAAGGAACUCAUGACUAGAAAAAGACUUA